GAUGAACGCUGGCGGCGUGCUUAACACAUGCAAGUCGAACGGUGAAGCAGAGCUUGCUCUGUGGAUCAGUGGCGAACGGGUGAGUAACACGUGAGCAACCUGCCCCUGACUCUGGGAUAAGCGCUGGAAACGGCGUCUAAUACUGGAUAUGAGCUGCGAUCGCAUGGUCAGCAGUUGGAAAGAUUUUUCGGUCUGGGAUGGGCUCACGGCCUAUCAGCUUGUUGGUGAGGUAAUGGCUCACCAAGGCGUCGACGGGUAGCCGGCCUGAGAGGGUGACCGGCCACACUGGGACUGAGACACGGCCCAGACUCCUACGGGAGGCAGCAGUGGGGAAUAUUGCACAAUGGGCGAAAGCCUGAUGCAGCAACGCCGCGUGAGGGAUGACGGCCUUCGGGUUGUAAACCUCUUUUAGCAGGGAAGAAGCGAAAGUGACGGUACCUGCAGAAAAAGUGCCGGCUAACUACGUGCCAGCAGCCGCAGUAAAAC
rnacentral:rRNA from 1 species